rnacentral:lncRNA from 1 species
CGAAAAUCUCCAUUAUAAUUCGAUAGAAGAAAAUAAAUCGUUUACGACGUUAUCUUGAUGGAUUCCAACGGGGGAAAAGAAUUAUUAUUUAAAGAAUUUUAUUCUUUAAUGUUCUGUCCUCAGUAUUUGUGUACACAUCAGCAUUUACAGUAAAGGAUCGUUAAGUUUAAUCGCGGUAAUUCUCUUUGAUCAAGCAUUUAAUGUUCCCGCUUCUAAAUAGUUGUGUGAUUUAUUGUAUUAAUCAUAUCUAGGAACGAACAUCGAUUAAAAAUACGUUUUUAUUAACGUCUUUCGUCUAUCGGUUAAAAAUAUAUAUUUUUUUACUCCAUAUUAAAAAAAUAAGUAUAAUAAUUGCGAUUUUAUAUUCGAUCCUAUUUGCAUUAAUACCAUUUUUACACUCUUUAAACAGAUAGAUUGUUUAAAUAUGGUAGCAUAAGAUCUCUAUAAGACAAUUUUUUGUCGUGGUGGAGUUGGCCAAUGACUGUGUAUCGAUAACUGUAGCACUGUUUCAAUUUUUAUUGCCCUCGACAAAAUUUGCACACGGAAGAGAGGGAAGAAGAAGGAAAAAAAAAAAGUAAAUAAAUGGGGAGUACAAAACGUUUCGCCUUAUCUAAAUAAAUCGAGAAUUAAACUUAACUAAUCGUUCUUUUGAUUAAUGACCAUUCUUACCCAGGUGAUAAAAAAAAACUUUGUUCCUAGUCUGGCUUGAUAAUUAAUUAGAUUUUUUUUUAGACUUAGACCCACGGUGGAGGACAGUUUAAUUAACAGAUUAACUAUUCAGAACAGAAUCGCAUCUGUGUUAUAGUUAGGAUUAAGUCGAUGAAUAAUUUUCUUCCGAUAUUUUUUUUUUCCCUGCUCGAAAUGUUUAAAAAAUUAGAAGAAGAAAGAAAAAAUUGUUUAAUUCUUUUAUAUAGACUAGUAUGUUUCCAGCGAGAAUUAUGGAUUCAUGAGAAUGGCCGACUACUUCCGCGUUUUAUUUUUGUUAUUAUAUAUAGAAAGUCGUUGGUAGUAUGUAUAAAGAAAAGGUAGGGUGGGAAAAAAAUCUUAAAAAACAGGGAACUGGCAAUCAGAUUAAUAUGAAGUUGAUGACAUACGCAACGCUAUCGUUCUAACGACAUCGCAGGUACAGUAUCUCCUCCACGUUUUCAAUUCUCAUAGAAGAACGCGUCAUUAUUGGCUUUUUUUUUUAUUUCGUCCUCUCUCUCUCUCCUUCUCUCUCUUGUUCUUCUCUUUAAUCUUUUCCUUGGAUAGUAACCGUUGUAAUUAGGCUGCACCACUUACUGUGACAUCUGUUGACCAUCAUUUUCUAAAUCUGUUUCGUUGCUACUUUCUUCUACAGGUGUACACAACGAUUCGCUCAAAGUCUUUCCGAUAAUUCCUCACCUCGCACUUUUUCUCUCAUCUUCUCGGGGAGGAAUAUUUUCUCUCCCUCCCGCUACAACAUUUGGACUCGGCAGAAAUCGGAAUCAGAUAGCAAAUAGCAGUUUCCGUUCUUAAUGAUAAUUGCGAGAAUAAAUCGUUUCGAUGUUCCAACAUAUCCCCCCUUCUCUUAUGAUUAGGCUAUAUAUGUGUGUAAGAUGGGUGAAAAUAGAAAACAUAUUUUCUCAAUCUCUAGGGGGAGGAAAAACUUUUUCAGAGAUAGUUACCGAUUUUGUGCAAAGAUUCCUGUGCACAUUUGCUAACUUGUUUGUUUUCAAAACCGACGUUUGCAAAUUUUUUUUUCAUGUUUAAUAAUACGCAUUUUUAAAUUUUGCUCGUUAUAAAUUACAAGCGGCGAGUGGCCAUCCGGUAUAAUAAUUUUAUUAUUGCAUUAUAAACAUUGCCAUCUUAUGACAAAACACGUUACAAGUUGUUAACAAAGUUAGAAAAUAACUUUAUAGGGAAACACAACUGUAAAAAUUUUGAUGUUUUCGGUAGGCAGCCUCCUAAAUCAUCAGUUCAAAGAUUUAUCCAAUAUAUGGCAGGUUUACAGCUAAGAAAAAAGUUAGAUUAUCUGAUUACGAGUUUCUAAAAAAAAAAAAAAAAAAAGAGUAAAUAUAUAUUUUUUAUUUUGAUAAUGAGAGAAAAAAAAAAAA